AUACUUACCUGGCAGGCAUGACACCAUGAUCAGGUGAGGUGUUUUAUCAGGGUGAGGCUUAUCCCCAGCACUCCAGGUGUACCAACCCCUGCGAUUUCCCCAAAUGCAGGAAAGUUGACAGCAAAAUUUGUGGGAGUGGUCAUUUUUUGUCUUUCUAGGGAACUGGCUG
rnacentral:snRNA from 1 species